CCUACGGGCGGCAGCAGUGGGGGAUAUUGCACAAUGGGGGAAACCCUGAUGCAGCGACGCCGCGUGAGUGAAGAAGUAUUUCGGUAUGUAAAGCUCUAUCAGCAGGGAAGAAAAUGACAGUACCUGACCAAGAAGCCCCGGCUAACUACGUGCCAGCAGCCGCGGUAAUACGUAGGGGGCAAGCGUUAUCCGGAUUUACUGGGUGUAAAGGGAGCGCAGACGGCUGUGCAAGUCUGGAGUGAAAGGCGGGGGCCCAACCCCCGGACUGCUCUGGAAACUGUAAAGCUGGAGUGCAGGAGAGGUAAGCGGAAUUCCUAGUGUAGCGGUGAAAUGCGUAGAUAUUAGGAGGAACACCAGUGGCGAAGGCGGCUUACUGGACUGCAACUGACGUUGAGGCUCGAAAGCGUGGGGAGCAAACAGGAUUAGAUACCCUUGUAGUC
rnacentral:rRNA from 1 species